GAUGAAGAACGUAGCGAAAUGCGAUACUUGGUGUGAAUUGCAGAAUCCCGCGAAUCAUCGAGUUUUUGAACGCAAGUUGCGCCCGAAGCCAUUCGGCCGAGGGCACGUCUGCCUGGGUGUCACGCAUCGUUGCCCCCCCAAACUCCGGUUCGGGCGGGGCGGAAGUUGGCCUCCCGUGCGUGCCUGCGCGCGCGGUUAGCCCAAAAGCGAGUCCUCGGCGAUGAGCGCCACGACAAUCGGUGGUUUUUUUACCCUCGUUCCUCGUCGUGCGUGCCCCGUCGCCCGAACGCGCUCUUGCAACCCUUACGCGUCGCCUCGGUGGCGCUCCCAACGCGACCCCAGGUCAGGCGGGACUACCCGCUGAGUUUAAGCAUAUAAUAAGCGGAGGA
rnacentral:misc_RNA from 1 species